CCACGCACACACACACACACACACACACACACACACACAGAGGAAACAAAGACUCACUUCCAUGGACACACAGUCGGUGGGAACAAUAGAUGUAGAGGGGACACCUGCUGGUCUAACACACCCCGUCCUCCUCCCUCCAUCCUUUCUAUUAAGAUUCUCUGUGGGUAGUUUAGCCAUGCAUGUCGUGGUGAGAUCCAGUGAAUGAUAAUGAACUGGGCAAAGUGGAGAGUUUUUGUGUGUGAAUGGACCGAGAAGAGGAGGAGGCUUGUUGAAUCAGUCCUUCCAUCCCCAGCAUUCCAUCCAUCCAUCCGGUCCUCCUCCGUUACCUCACCGCUUCUUCCUCCUCCUCCUCUUCCUCCUCCUUGUCGGCGGUGUGUCGGCUGGAGGGACGGCCCCCGUGCUCUGACACAACUCACACACGCAGACACACACCUCCGCGAUGUGUCACUACCCAUUCCACCUGCCUCUUCCCGUCAUUCCCCGCUCGCCGCUCCGACUGCCCACACUUGCUGCACUUCCCUCCCUCGGUUUUUAACCCUUAUUUAUUCAUUGCAUUUAUUCUGUCCCGAGACCUUCCUUUCACUCCUCCGUGCCCUCCAUCACCCCCAUCAUCACGCCACCACCACACACACUACACACGCCAUGUGUCACCACCACAGAGAAGAAAGAAACAUUCUCCAGUCGACAAGUGGAAGAGACGAAGAGGAAGAAGACAGCAAAGUGUGGAGCGCGUGUGGAGCCCGGCGACACCACUGUCCGCCUCCAGCCGGAGCCUCCUUUGAUGGAAUAUCCCGGACGGCGGCGCGCGGAAGGAGGGAGCAGAAGGAAGGAGAGGAGAGGAGAAGAUUAACGGGGCUGAGAAAACGGGACAGGCAGCGAUCGCCUCGAGAGGCUCCAUCGAGUCCAGCCUCACACACAAACACGCACGCAUACACCCCCCCACACACUUUGCUGUGGAGCGUGCACGUGUGUGGGCACUCACCACAAGUGCAUGUGUGAGUGUGAGGAUUCAGCCAGUUGGACAGACGCAGCGGCGGCUCGGAGGUCCUUGUGGAUGCGGCGCGUCAGGUAGACCAUGCCCUUCACUUGUGCCUGCUUCUGUGGUCUGAAUGGCUUCUGUCGAAAGAAGAAAAAACGGGACCAAGUGUCAGAAGAGGAGAUUGAUGAAGACGGGCAUCACCGGGAUGAGGAAACGGUGGUGUGACGGCAGCACUGUUGGCUGAACUCUCUCCAACUUUAAAACACUGUAACAUAAGACCAAGGUUACAGGUUCUCUCCGUAUCAGGUGUCUGGGAAUGUUCCCAUAGUGGAAGUGAAGGGGUUUCAGGUUUCAAAUACAUAUUUUUAUUCAGGUGUUUCAUGGAAAAGAUUUCGUGUUCUACUUCUUUUUCUACUCUUACAAACCAAAAGGCCAUCCAAAUUUCUUCUCAUGAUAAGACUGAUGAAAAUGCAAGCCUCUGAACUCUUUGCUCAUCCUCCAUUCCCCAAACCUGCUAUGCUCUAAUUUUCCCUGGGCAGCUGACAGAGAACUUGGCUUUUGCUGAUAAUAUUCAAAAGAUAAAAAAAAAAAAAAAAAGGUCUGAUUCAUUUCUUGCCAGUGUGCGAAAAGACAAAGGUCUCUUAAAAUCCAUUAUUCUGUUCAGGCAUACCUCUCCUCGAUGCCCCGUCUUUCCCAUCUCUACCUUAAUUGCGCCUCCUCUGCGGAGGCUGGAUUGGAACCGAAGCUCCGUGGAGCUCUGCACCUUCUCACCUGCUUACUUACGUCGGAUCGACUUAGCGAAAACUUCAGCCAAGUAAGAAAGUGUAGAGCAAUUUCCAGAGUCGCCCGCUGAGGGGCCCCGAGCCCAUCUCGGAUUUUCACGCUGAGCUGACCCCGAUCUAAAGCCAAAGCAGCUGUCCAAUCAGUGGCUUAGCUGGAGUGUGAAGAAGGGAGUCAAGGGUCAGAAUGAGAAACGGGGGCUUGGGGAACAUCACUCCCCUGGUGCUGCCACUUCUCUAAUAUCCGGACGAGUAAUUACCGAGAGGAACACCCACAAAUGCUGAUGCUUCAAUUAAUGUACGUCCCUGUGGGAGUCAAGUCUCUCCCCGCAAAUGCCACCACAAUGCACUUCCAGCUGUCACCUGUUAGAGGGCAGGGCAACGCAAGCAUGCUAGGGUGCUCAUGUUUUUUCUUGGCUGCCACAAUGGUGCUUUCAAAGUAGAAACAAGUGGUUGACAUAUCUUCUGCCGCCAUGCCGCAGGCUUUCCCGGGCGCAUCCGGACGCCCAAAGACAAAAGGCCAGCGCACUGGUCUCAUUAGCAUGCGUGAUUAUGCAUUGCACGUCCAGUCAGGCGGUGGAGAUGUAAUUAACCUUUUCCAGCAGGAAACAGAUGCCUGGAUGUCACACACACACACACCCCAACACACACGUCUGCUGUCAGGGAAACAAAGCCGACGUCACGGUGUCACGGAAACAAAGCCCCGAAUGCGCCGCCUGGCACUUUCUGAUAAUCCCCUCACGCAUAUUUACAUUCAUGGCUUAGAAUACGCCUCGGUGACACCGCCUCCGCCCUCUUACCCCCUUUCCUCUGUUGUCAGCCACCGACCCAAGUCACACCUUUUCCGUUCUUUUCGCCUCAACCGGCCCCUAGUAGUCUCAUCCCUGCUAUCUUCCUCUUUUUCAUCAUCUCUCCUUAAACUUUCUCCUUGGUCGAAUUCAUCCGUUUAUUAUCAGUGGAUGGUACAUGGCCGUGCAUGGCAGCUCCCGUAGAUUAGCCCCCACUCUUGCAUUCCCAUAUCAGGGAUUUCUUCAGGCGGGUAAGAAAGUGAAGAAAGAAGCUGCUUUACGACAGAUUAAUGGACGGCCCUGAUUGCGCCUGUUGGUGUGGCUCUGCGCCUGAGCUGAAUCGACUGUUUACUCGUUCUCCCGCCGCUACGAGCGGCGAAAUGAAACAAAGCAAAAGCCAUUUCACAGUGUAGAGCACCUAUUAUGAUUCAGUGUGUUACGGCGCAGCCCUAAUGAGAAAGAGAGAAAACGAGAGGAGGAGCAGGAGGAGAGGAAGAGACGAUAAUGAAAGUGAGUUGGGAGGGGGGGCAAACGCUAGACAGAGCAGUCAUGCUAAUUGGCUAGAGUGGAUAACUUUCUUUGGCGAAAACGAAGGUGUGUGGUUAAAAGAACGGCCUUAUCUGUCUACAUUGCUCUCAUUUAACGAUCCCUCCAUUUCACCUCUUUUAAUGAGAGGAAUAUUCACCGAGGUAAUGGCACAGAACUCGGAGUUGACGGCAAUUUCUUGCUCACGCACGCCACGCUCCGAGACGGGAUCUGAGGCAAGGCGCUCUCCUUGCCCCAGCCUCCUGCUAUGGAUCAUGACAAUUUUCAGGGAUUGUAACUCAAGGACAAACAGCUAAAAAUAGAAGGGUGGUGCACGACUCCUGCGGUAGCGGCGAAGGGAGGAGGUGAGUACAGGGAAGGACGGGGGAGGGGGGACCGCGAAAAUUACUCCUGUCGCAUUAGAUUUGGGUCAGAGGCGAGGGAAAAGCCGGCGAAGCGGAGAGCGUUCCAGACGGCUGGGAGAUUCAUCGCCCGCCGCUCCGUGCUUCUCUCCUCUUUUAACACCUUGCCUUUAUCCUGCACAGACAGCGGCGGAGGGCUGGGACGCCGGGCGAGUUUCACGGAAUGGACGGGGAAGGCAUUGCAAAACAUUUGAAAGAACAACAAUAAAAAGAUACAAGGAUUAGUACCAGGUUAGACAAGGAGGAUAGAAAGGUUAGUGUGUUGUAGGGUGCACCUUGCUUGGAUCAUACCAUUCAAUUUAUGGCCUCCUGUUGCAUUAUUCACAUGAUCCCAGGUCCUGGAAAAAAUACAAUAAAACCCACCAUGUUAAAAAUCAAAAACAAAAUUCCAUCUACGCGGAGCAGACACAAUGUGUCAUCACAGUUUAUUAUGUAAAUAGGACACACACAGCAAAAGAAAAACUCUAGUUGUCCACUACUUUGGAAAUGGCUUGUAAACGGGGUACAAGGACGGACUGUUUUUGGUCCCAUAAUGGCAGAGCGACAUUUGACCGGCUCUGUUGGAGGCAGAUCAUGUAUAGAUGGCAAUUGGGAGAUAUUUGGUGGAGAAAAAGCUGAAAAAACAAAUGUUAUCCAGGUUCCAACAUUUAAGCCCCUUUUGCACUGCCCAGCCAGACCCGGGCUGAUCCGGGCCGGUAUGGCUUAAAAGCAGGGCUGAUCGUUUUUGCAUUAGCACUUCCAGCCCGGUACCACCUGGCUCCCUGGAACCCCUAGAGCUGCGGUUGAAAUUGCGCCGGCCAGACCGGGCUGGUUUGGAGUUAGCUGUUGAUUGGUUCAUUGGCUGCGCGGGCCGGACAAAGAUCAGAUUUCUGGGUCAGAGGAGCACUAGACUUUCUCGAUGUCUGUCAUUUCAAUGUGCUGCAUCAAUAAAUUCCCGUCAUAAUCUAUUCUUACCCCACACUGGGAUUACAAUCACCUCUUCAGCCAAAGAUUUGAAUGUUAAAUGUAAACAACACUUCUCCAAUUGAACUGAUGAGAAGUUGGUAACGAUGUGGACGAGGGGAUUUCCGCGUCUGGGUUGCUCUAGCGGGGAAAUCCCACCAGUUCUGCUGGCCGCAAGUCCAGCUCUGAGACGACAUUCAGAUGAUAUUUUUAUUUAUUUUUUUCCGUUAAAUGUAAAGCUGAGGUAAAUGUUUCCGUCAACUUCCUCACUCAUGAACGCAUUCAGAAAGAGCGGGACGGGAGAACCAAGAAGGAAACUUGAUCGCCUCGGUAGCUUUAGCAAGAAUUUGAUUUACGUGACGUAUCCAGCUCAAUGCGAAACGACCAGAGCUAUGCUGUUCGAACGGAGCCGGCCUGGGCAAAAAGGGCUUUAGUUAUCUGUGGAAAAGCUCAAGAAUUUGUUGGAACCCUAUGUUAAGCAAAACAUAGUCCCCCAUGUGGUUGGGGACUGUAUGGCAAAAAGGAUCUUUCUGUGGUUUUGCCUACAGGUUCCAUAAGAUCUUGGUGGUUUUUACUCACUGGUGUGUGACACAGGGCAGGUAUGAGUGCUAAUAAGGUCCAUCUCCAUAAAAUGGGUUUCCUGCCCAUUUGGUUUUCAUGUAUAAUUCUGGACAGAUAGUCGGUCUCAACUGGAAACAAGAUGCACACAAUUUAUCUGGGUCCCAUUUUUAACUCAUGAGUUGAAAAAAAAAAUUGUGUAUCUUUAACUUUAAUAACUUGCUUUUCAUCUUCUAUGUCUCACACAAUGAGUUAAAGAAGUAAAUACCAAAACUGUUAAUGAUAGUGCCUUAGCUGACAGGAAUCAAAUUGCUUAAAUGGAUAAUUCAGGACCAGUAAUAGUGAACAAACACCAUUCAUUUACCUACAGGAGCUAACUCUCUUAGCAGUUUUUUUUUCCCUAAGGCUAAUGUUUAGGAAAACCUCAACCAACUAUUGUGACUAUUCCUUUAAUAAAACACUUACCUAAAUUGCCAGACUUCAAUGCAAAACUCAAAUGGUUAGAUUGCCUUGUUGACUGAAAACCAACUGUUUAAAUGGAUUGUUAUGUUUUCUUUUUAACUGGGGAUGUGAGCAGUUCAUAUGGUGGAAAAGAUUUUCUUAACUUCCUGUUUUAGAAAUGCACUGUUUUUCUGAGAAUUAAAAAAAUAAAAUAAUGACAUGCCAAGACCAAA